UACGAGGGGGGCAAAUGUUGUUCGGAAUCACUGGGCGUAAAGGGAGCGUAGGCGGGUUCUUAAGUUAGGUGUUUAAUCCCGGGGCCCAACCCCGGACCGGCACUUAAAACUGGGAAUCUUGAAUAGUGGAGAGGUCGGUGGAAUUGGAGGUGUAGCGGUGGAAUGCGUAGGGAUCUCCAAGAACACCAGUUGCGAAGGCGGCCGACUGGACACAUAUUGACGCUGAGGCUCGAAAGCAUGGGGAGCAAACAGG
rnacentral:rRNA from 1 species